UCGGGAAUAUUGGACAAUGGGGGCAACCCUGAUCCAGCAAUACCGCGUGUGUGAAGAAGGCCUGCGGGUUGUAAAGCACUUUCGCUAGGGACGAUAAUGACGGUACCUAGAUAAGAAGCACCGGCUAACUCCGUGCCAGCAGCCGCGGUAAUACGGAGGGUGCAAGCGUUAAUCGGAAUUACUGGGCGUAAAGCGCACGUAGGCGGUUAUUUAAGUCAGAUGUGAAAGCCCCGGGCUCAACCUGGGAACUGCAUCUGAUACUGGGUAACUAGAAUGUGGGAGAGGGAAGUGGAAUUUCCGGUGUAGCGGUGAAAUGCAUAGAGAUCGGAAGGAACAUCAGUGGCGAAGGCGACUUCCUGGACCAACAUUGACGCUGAGGUGCGAAAGCGUGGGUAGCAAA
rnacentral:rRNA from 1 species